GGCUGGAACGUGGAGCGCUGAAAACACGUCGUGUCGAUUCGCGGAGCUCGCAGCUCGCCAUUGUGCGACAUUUAAUUGGCAAAACACAUAUGAAUAUACGCUCGAACUUCCUGCAGUAUCUAUAUCGCGCGCGAUAAACACAUACGCUCAAUGGCGAAUAAAUAAUUUAAUGCAAUAAUGCGCAUUAUGCACGGUUACAUAAAGUUAGAGCCGAUGCAACAGUGCGCGCUGCGUUCGGCACGGAAGCAUCAGUUCCGCCUGUUAAACUGGACUCUUAUCCUGCUCAUCUGAAGGAUUCCAUUACAAAUAUCACGUGUGCGCCAGUUAUUGUUCGGCCCGACAGCUCAACCUGGACAUGUGCUAACCUUCGCAUCCUUCAACUCCCGUCCACGCAACCAUCUUUCAUAAAAAUGCGAAGCAUGAAUGGAUAAGCUUGAAAUAACGCGCAGAAUGACAUCACGUAAUCGCAAUGCGAACAAUGGUAGAUACAUUAGUUGUUUAUCCCGGCCGGAUAAACGUGCAUACCGAUUCCGCACACGCAACCGGUCCGACAAAAAUCGUCGCGAAAAUAUUGCAGAACACGAAUGUUAGUGAUUCCAAAAAAAACUUUCGUCACAAUUUACGAUUAUGUUGGAAUCGAAACGCACAACGAUAUCAUAUGAGAAUUUUAAAUCUGCGGAGAGUGAUUGCGUCACGAACUCGCGUUAAAAUUCACUCGGAAUCAAACUAUACGGCGGUAUUGCGCGGCGAGAGAAAUUUGAAAUUCGAAAUUGGAAAAUACUCGAGAGGACUCGAAGGAGAGGGAUGCGAAGAAACUCAGGAUUUCGACACCAACUACGCAACAAUAAGAUAACGACCGCAAGAAGCAACCAACCAGAAAGCAGGUGCGAAGGAUGAAACAAAUGGGCGCUGCAUAUCGGAGGGCAUGGAGGGUCAUGGCGUCGUAAUAGAAUCGGCUUGAAAUAAAUUGUGAAGCGUAAUAAAUUGUAAACUUAAACGAA